AGCUGACUGCAAGGAGACAAAGGCUUGCUGGGGCUUUCAUAGGAUGGUACUGUGCUGGAGUGGGCUAUGUACACUACGAUCACGCCGAGGCUGCAGGGAGCGAGCUUGCAGGUGUCUGGUGGUAUAAGUCGGGCGCAGGAAGAUUGUGACAAAAAAGAAGACACACAGAAACACAGAGGAGAAGGCCAUGUGAAGAUGGAAGCAGAGGUUAGAGUGAUGCAGCCAUAAGCCAAGAAAUGCCAGGGAGGAAGUUCCUCUACCCAGGAGAGAGGCAUGGAACGGAUUCUCCCCAAGAGUCUUCAGAAGGAAACAACCCUGCCCACACCUUGACUUUGGACUUCUGGCCUUCAGAACUGUGAGUGAAUAAAUUUCUGUUGUUUUAAGCCUCCACUUUGGUGAUAAUUUCUUACAGCAACCAUAGGAAAUAGAUGCAGUGCAGUGUAGGUAGGCUGUACAUGGCAAUGAGUCUGGUGAUGGGCAGAUAGUGAAGAGUAGGAUAUUUUGGCAAUCCGAGUUAUUUUUGUGAGUUCUAUUUGAUCAAGGACCAUUGUUUCUCUGUGUUGAUUUUUCAUAAACUCCAUCUACAUAACAUGAACAAGACUGGUUAAAAAAUUAAAAAAAAAAAAAGCGG
rnacentral:lncRNA from 10 species